ensembl:lncRNA
GACCUCCACGUUCGUGGCUCCAUCGGUGGAGUUGUUCUCCCAGAAACGUUUGUUUUAACAGUGCUGACUUUAUAACGACAAAUUAUCCCUUCGGAAAGAGCUGCCCGCAUCACGGCGACGUGCGAACGGACACAGAGCGGCCGCACGGAUGAGAAUUAAAACCAAAUUCCUCUUAUCUACGUGAGAAAUCAGCCGGAAGAAAACGAAAAUAUACCCGACUUUAAAUUAUAUAUAUGUAUAUAUAUAUUUUUUUCUAUAAAGUACUUGGUUCGCUGUAAGCCAUUGAUCUCCUAAUGGGUUUCUACGCUGUUCCUGCCCGGGGUCGUUCGCGGCGCUGCGCGGCCC